rnacentral:lncRNA from 1 species
GCCAAUCUUCCAUUCUUGAUCUCCUUAACUUUGAGCUCCGCGAAAGUUGUUGGGUCAUCUGCUAGGCCCAGUGGGUCAAAGUACUGGCCACCUGGGUAGAGAUCGUUGCCUUCGCCAACUCCAGGAAGCCCAUUAAUUCUGAAACCUUCUACAAGACCCAUUAGCACUACUUGGAAGCCCAAUACUGCUAGAAUGCUUUGAGCAUGGACAAGGUUUGGGUUGCCCAAAUAGUCCAGUCCACCUUCACUGAAGAUUUGGGCUCCUGCUUUGAACCAUACUGGCUCCUUGAAGUCCACUUUCACCCAUUUCUCAAGAACUUCUGGUGUAAUACAACCAAAUG